UACGUAGGGACCAAGCGUUGUUCGGAUUUACUGGGCGUAAAGGGCGCGUAGGCGGCUUGUCAAGUCACUUGUGAAAUCUCUGGGCUUAACCCAGAACGGCCAAGUGAAACUGACAUGCUAGAGUGCAGAAGGGGCAAUCGGAAUUCUUGGUGUAGCGAUGAAAUGCGUAGAUAUCAAGAGGAACACCUGAGGUGAAGACGGGUUGCUGGGCUGACACUGACGCUGAGGCGCGAAAGCCAGGGGAGCAAACGGG
rnacentral:rRNA from 1 species